GACGAACGCUGGCGGCGUGCUUAACACAUGCAAGUCGAGCGGUAAGGCCCUUUCGGGGGUACACGAGCGGCGAACGGGUGAGUAACACGUGGGUGACCUGCCCUCAGCUCUGGGAUAAGCCUGGGAAACCGGGUCUAAUACCGGAUACGACUCCAUGACGCAUGUUGUGGGGUGGAAAGCCUUGUGCGGCUGAGGAUGGGCCCGCGGCCUAUCAGCUUGUUGGUGGGGUGAUGGCCUACCAAGGCGACGACGGGUAGCCGGCCUGAGAGGGCGGACCGGCCACACUGGGACUGAGACACGGCCCAGACUCCUACGGGAGGCAGCAGUGGGGAAUCUUGCGCAAUGGGCGAAAGCCUGACGCAGCGACGCCGCGUGAGGGAUGACGGCCUGGUGUAACUACUU
rnacentral:rRNA from 1 species